UACGAAGGGGGCGAGCGUUGUUCGGAUUUACUGGGCGUAAAGGGCGCGCAGGCGGCUCAUUUUGUCAGGCGUGAAAGCCCCGGGCUUAACCUGGGAACUGCGUUUGAUACGGAUGGGCUAGAGUUCGGGAGAGGAGAGUGGAAUUCCCAGUGUAGAGGUGAAAUUCGUAGAUAUUGGGAAGAACACCUGCGGCGAAGGCGGGUUGCUGGGCCGACACUGACGCUGAGGCGCGAAAGCUAGGGGAGCGAACGGG
rnacentral:rRNA from 1 species